AUUACGGACUAUUUUCUCAAAAGGAAAUCCAAAAAACUCAUUUUACCUUAGAAUAGUUUUAAAUUUUUACCUGCGUUGCUUAGCGAUGCGGCCAAACUGUAUUAUUUGGCAAAAAAAAAGGAAUCAUUUGAGCCACAAUAAAUUUCUGCUUUCCAGAAAACUUUUAAAAAUGCCCAAGAAACAAGCUUGAACGUAUACCAUAAUAGAUUUAAUUAAACUUUUUUCCCACCUUUAUAGCGUAGAGACCGACAUAAAAAAUAGUUUGGUUAAAAUUUUAAUAAAAUUUUUUAGUGACCAUGAGCUACGACUACUAUGACUAAUGGUCACCAGCACACGAAGGCCAACGGAAGUAGACAACCGGAGCACAUCGCGGAGGAUAGUGGGCACUACACCGAUGGAGACAUCCAGAAGAGGCUAGGAGAGACAACCCAUAUCACAGAUAGAACCGUGGCGAGAGAUGAACGUUUUAAAACUGUUUCUCGCACAAAUUUCAUGAACGCAACAGUUCUGCGCGAU